GGUUUAAUAUUUUCAUCCAGACAUUCCACAGCUUACUGGGUUUUGCAUACUUAAUUAAGGGCGGAAUGGCAAAAACAACUGCGUCAUCGCAACGUUCCCCUCCCUCCCCCUCUGAUCUCGCUUCGUGCUACUCGUUUUCCCCAGUCCCUCCCCUUUGAACGCCUGCCACGCAGACUUAGGACUAAUAUUUGCUUGUUUUUUUUUUCUUUUGAAGAUAAAAUUUCCAAGGGUUAACUAUCACACAAGCGCGAGACAUAAAUAUUCUAUUGUCUUUAUUGUUCACGUCCAAAUUUUCUCGUAGCGGCAUGCUUAAAAUCUAAGAACGACAUGGUAUUACUGAAAUUUCCAACCACUAUGGACCGCGUGGAGCUGGAGCGUAAAUUACAGGCAUCCUUACUGCGCAUGCCAUUCGCUCAUAACAUAACGAGGGCUAGUGCGUGCAUUUAUGUCAUAAUACAAACUCGCGGCGAUUUAUAACAAUACUAGUGGGAGCUGCUACAACUUAGUGUGGAUUUAACAAUCUUAGACGUUCGGUGACCCUAGUUUUCCUUUGAUAGAUCACUACCUCUACCAUUUUUCUACGUUUUGCGAAAGGUUGAAAAAAUCUUUAUGAUAGAAGUAUACUGAACCUUUUGCCCCAUGCACCAUCGAAUUCCGUUCUUUUGAGCUUUUUGUUUAGCUUCACGAUGGUUUGAAAAUUUGGAAUUACUGACACUCCAGACCCACUUACAGAAAAUAUUUCAAAGGUAGCUUGCCUCCGUCAACUCAUGUUUGAUAUUUUUGACCAAAAAGCCCGGAGAUAAUGUUGAGUUAUCUGCACCCGUUCUUACUGAUCGGAUUAUUCUUUCACAGUAGCUUCAAAACGAAGUCGGUGACCCCCAUUUUGUUUUGCAUUUGUCGCAGCACUUCCUUAUUAUGUAGCCGUAAUAAAAGAUUGUAAAAAACUUCUACAUAGCUAAAGAUUUUGGCACACACACUCUAGAGGUACCUUAUUUGGGUUAAUUAGAAUUAAGCGUACAAACAAUUUUCUAUAUAUACGACAAGAAAUUCAAACCUAACCUCUGCCCGCUUGCCGUGACUCGUUCAAAUCCGGGUACUAACCGUAGUGGGAGUGAGUUGUGCUUGGUGGCCAGAGCUUUCCCGCGGCCUCCCAUAGAUGGGAUUGAUUUAGUCCUCGACCCGGGGUUGUUUUAUCGUCAAUCGCAGGCGAUUCGUAACCAAAGUUGCGAAUAUUCAAAAGAAGAAUUCGCCGUCAAAAUUCGUCUUGUCAGGCGUGAAAUAAUACAUUAGAGAUGGACAUGUUCAUUACUUUUGUGACGUGGAGGGCUAAGAUUGAGCUGUGGCGGGUUUAAAGAUGCUUCUAGCGAGCUUUUCGAACUGGUCUUCAUCCGGUUGGUGAUAUCUCCUGUGCUGCUUUGUCUCCUCUUUAGUACGCGUCGGAUCAAUCAAAUGGCAUUCAGAAGUGCUAGAACGGCAAGAAAAGAACACCAGAAAUCAUGUUCAUGACAUAGCCCCCUUAAUUACCAGGAUGAUGGUCUGAUCCUUAUGGUGAGUACGCCGCUUGAUUUGUACGCGGAUAAUUGUAAGUUACAAAAGAGUCCCUAGUUUCAUCCUUACAUCGCUGAGUGACAGAGCGGUAAAAAAAAGAGAGGGUGCUGAAAUAUAGAAAAUUCGUUACGAUAAUGACAAACAUUAGGAUGAGCCAGUUCACGAUAUAUUUAGAAAAUGGCCUAUUGGGGUCCACGUAGCUUGGGAAAGAUCUCGUGAUUUUAUUGACUGUUGCCAUAGUACAAACUCCAGUGUAUCAAAAGAAAGUCGAGAUAUGUGAAAAGGGAUUCAAUUGGCUCACGAGUCCUUAGAACCUGAGAGAUAAGUACAGUUAUAAACAAGUGCCAAUGAAACAAGCGCUCUCAUUGGUUUGAGAGGCUUGCAUUAUGAGAGUACAAACUCGUGACACCGUUCGCACGUGAAGCUUUAGAUUGUUACCGAAUUCACUCCUCUCGCGAACAAAAAGAAAAUUCACGAAUACAAUUGGAAAGACAAACGUUAAUGCAAUCACGCACGACCCUUGAGGCCGUCAUACUCUGCGGCCAAAACAACCUAAGAGUUAUAAUGGUGUGUGGCCAAUUUCUCAGAAAAAAAAAGUAACGCUUAAUUAUAAAACAAUAACAAAAAAAAGCUUGGCCGUGCUUUGCUCUAUUAUAAAGUACUCGAGGAAGUGUCAAAUGCACUUAGGAAGUAAAGAGAAGCACACGCGUCCGGCUCGUGUCUCACCAAUCCUCUUGUACUCUCGUCGCUUCCUUGCGCGUGCAGGAUAAGGCACGUGUAGCCUUAUAUUAUGUGUAAAAUUUUGUCAUUUUGAUCCAGAGUAGUAGUCAUAGUGAUCAGCAGGUUGUCUAUCGCAGGCAAUGGACAGGCUAGCUUCAACUUUUGAAAAAAAAAAGUCCACAGGCAAGCUUAAAAAAUGAAAAAAAACAACACCGACGAUAGGAAUAAAAGCGUCGUCCAUUACCGAUGAGCGAUACUAACCCUAAUAAGAAAGAAUCAUCGGCAGAAAAUUAAAUGAAUUAAUCAAUAAAUAGACGCUUUAUGUUCAAAGGGUGACGUGUGUGAUUUCAGCGCGUGUGUAAUUUUUUUCUUUUUUUUUAAAAAAAAAAAUGAAAGCCAGGUUGACGAAGUUUAAUCGUAAGUACUGUGGAACCAGUUAGAUUUUGGUUUUACUUUGUUCAUCUUCUCUAGUUGUUUAGCGUGCGAAUACGGCCGCCUCUCAGGGCCAGUUGUAGGCUCGGUUUCUGCCGCUCUCUCGCGUCCGGUCACUUUGCUCCUCCCCGUGAAGAACGGCUGGAGAGGGCGAGCCUAGGCCAGCUGUAUUCUCAGGAUACUGCUUUUGUCAGUUUGAUUUGUUCGCAGAUUCUCCUUCAUUGGAUUGGGCAAUCCAUUAACAAAUAGAUUUUGUCGGUAUUACAUGUGUUCAAAUUCAUCAAAUGUUAACCACUGGCAAGCCGGCCUUUGGCAAAUGAUCGAUCCUUAUCAUAGCCAUUCAAAUAAAGAGUGAACACGUACGUUAAAAUUUGGCGAGGUGACUACAUUUUACUCUAGAUACAACUAAAGAACAAUAAAAUAGAGCUACUGUACCCUCGGUGAUAACUCAAGUCUUCUACGCCUGUUCACCCUGUUCAGCUCCGCACCCCGGCAAUGUUUCACUCGCUCUGUGCAGCCCAGCACCGAUAUUUAAAUGAGUCUUAUAGAGUCAUAGUCUGGGAAACGAACUUUGUUCGACUGAUCACACAUAUGCCAAAAUUGCGUGUAUGGAUGAGCUAAUCUCACAACUGACAAACUUACUGACAAUCUUACUGACAUCUUACUGUUGAAGCAAAAACGGUCUUAUACAGUCUGGUCACCCAAAUUCUGACAGUUAAACGGAAAUAAUGGCCCAAUGAUAAAUGACAGAAUACCCCCAAAAUAUGAAAAUAGAGAAUUAUCUACGAUUUAUAAAAAAAAACUAUAUAGGAAAAUAGAACAACAGAAAUUGCUUAAGGAAGCGCCACCGAAUCUUGUGUAUUCCGUUUUUGGUUUUUCGCUUGUUCGAACAUCACACGCGGGCAGAAAGGGAGGAUAAAUUGAAAUGAAUAGGUCACGCCUUUUUGGCUAACAUUUACAUUAACGGACUGCAGAGAGCUCAGGUACACCAAAGUGGCGCAUGUGCGUUUUUCAUGAAGAAAACAACGUUUCGGUUAAUACCGUAUAUUGUGUGCUAAUCUGCAAAACGUUUAGUUCGUAAGUAACUGGGCCAUUUGGCCAUUUGAAGCCACAUAUGGCUAACUUACUGGUGAAUUUACCAAUAAGAUAUAAGGCCUUAAGUGCAUAUGGUGCUAAACACCAAGCCAUUUGAACCAGAUAACCAAUGUUUUACAUUAAUGCAGCCGAAAAUUGUGCUGCUGCAUGUGCAGGAGUUGUUUUCUUACCUAAACUAGGGUUCGAAGCGAAAAAGUGGUUGGUCGGAAUUUGCUCUUGUGUAAAUAAGAUUUAGGCUGCAUUAUGAAGCGAUAGGAGACUUAACUUGGACUUAAAAGUUAAUACGAAAUCUGAAGAGAUGAAAAUUUACUGCCUGCUGGGUGAAAACAACUCAUCACUAGAUGUUUGAUACUAAGCAUAGAAAGUCCGUCAAGUUUAAUAACAAUCCGGACUCAGAUAAAAUACAAGUCUCUUGACUUGUUACUGAUAUUCAACCGUACGGCGCAAUCCGAUAAUCAUUUGCCCGUGAACUACUGUAGUCAAAGUUCGUCAGGACGCAAAAUUAAUCCUAAUUUUCUGGGAGAGUUUUUGGUUCACGUGUAAAACAUGUAGGAAAAUUAAGGUGAUCGGCUUAAUACGGCAAAAUGUAGACAGACUGAUUCAAUGCAACCACUCAAUCACAUCGCUUUUGAUUAAAAACACAACUGAACAUGUUACGGAAACAACUGAGCAAAAUGUUACCAUAGAAUGAAUAAAUAUAUAAAUUAUUGUAGCAACAACAAUAUAUUGGCAAAACUGCUAUGUAUUAUGAAUUGAAACCUAUAUAUGCAUAUGUCCUCUGGUUUACGUGCAUUCUCUAAAUUUUUUGAAAGGUACAAGGGCUCGCGCAAGCCACUCGAGCACGUUAUCAAUUGUGUGGUUCUAGAGCUCCACGCACGCAAACGUGUAAGAUAGUCCCCGGACGAUAAAUGUUCUGUCGUAAGUCUUUCUAACAACCAAAACCCCCACAGAGCUGCAACAAAAGCGCAAAAUUUAUAUAUCCCGGUGUUCGUAUGUUAUAGUUUAAACCACAUGACAGACCGUUGUCACGUGGCUCUCAGGUGCUGAACGCGACCGUAUCAAAUGAUAGGCAGUUAUCACGCUAUGGGCUAAUAGCACUGAUUUACGUCACAAUAAGGCACACGUGAACACAAAAGAUCUUUCGUUUAAGGUAGGCAUGACCAUUUGCACUAGGCCGACAAACAGCUACUAGCUCUUCCAAAGUCUCGCCAUAUCUUGUCUCCACCAAAUUCUGUUCGAACUGCCAAAAAACGUGGUCUACUUACAAACCAGCAUUUAUUUUUUGCCCAAAAAUGUCAAUCACAAAAGAAAUUGAACACCUCUUCGCGGAAAAAUGCCAACUCAAAUGAUGUUUUGCUUUAAGAUGAAUUGAAAGAUCUGUCAGUUUUGACAAUUGGCAAAAAUUGCUCAGAUCAGACUGAGAAUCUUCGUUCGUUCAAUGGAGGUGAUGACAGCCUAACAUUUUGUCGCGUGGACCGCCCUGAUGAAUUUUUUAAAACAUCUUCCGCCUUCAUUUCCACCGAUAAUUGAAAAGUAACAUGCCAAGAAAAAUGGAUAAUACCUUAUGAAAAGAAAAGGUUAAAAUACGAAAGAAGUAAAGAAUUACAAUCAAAGUAAGAGAACGUCACAUGAAACAGCCGAUACAUCUUUGAAAUUACCAGCUCUUGAGCGACGCGUGAUGUCUAUUAUUUUUCUUCAGUAUUGCUGUAGACCUCUCUAACGCCCUCUUGGCUUAAAACAAGACGAGUUUUUUAAGAGGCAAUGUCACGAUAUCUCAAUCACUUCUCUCUUCACUUUUACAUUGAAGGGAAAUUAUCAAUAAUAUUUUUCUAAGGUGGAAGAACACCAAAGAAGUACAAAAAUAUAAAUAAAUAAACAAGGAUAUGGCUUCGACUGAGAAACCUUAAAGGAGCAGUUACAUAAGUGUUACUGCGAAAAGUCACAACCUAGACAACCUAAAAGACAUGAUUGCAUAGAUUGAAACCUUAAUAUAAUGCUUAUAAGUUUCGUUAGAAAUUACAUUGAAAGUGCACUGAAGUUAUAAAAAGAGGGCUACAAGGGACGGUUGUGAUGUCAAAUUAAAAACGUCUGGGAAGGGGUUUCAAAUUUUGUUGUCGUUUCUUGGAAAAUCGCUUGAUUAAACCAAUUCCAAUUUGUUCUCUUGUUAUUAAGUCCGUGAAUAUCUUCAUCUUGAUGAUCUCGGUGCAGUCUAGAAACAUUUGGAGUACAAGCGAAGGCACUCUGUCAUAAUUUUACCGCUUCUGUAAUCACUGAUGUAGCAAAUUGCCAUGAACGUGUCCUUUUAAGACGGAUUUCGACAAACUCGACAAAUUUGGCCAAUUUUUUCCUUUUUUUAAGGUGUGAGUUUCAUGACGCAGCUCCUUUAAUGUGCUUCAGUUCUGCCAAACAGUACGGAUGCCACUGAGCCUGAAAGCUAUCCUGUGACGUACUAACACGCCACCUAUGGAUUAGCAACACAUCUAGUCGCUUCAUGCAAAAAAAGGCACCGGCAGUGGUAAGACAUCUGGCUCCGUCAUAUCGUUCGGAUUGUCAGAAUGAACUUAGCGUGUGAGCAGUAUGUGAGCAAUAUUGGCAUGGUACAAAUCACUGUAAAACGUUGGCCAUUGGCUUUUGGUAACUUCCUUAAAGCUCUUUCAGCGGGUAGAUCGAGCACAAAAGACAAAAAGUUUGAAUUUAUAACUAAGCAAAUGAUUCUUUAAUUUGUUGAGUAAACAUCCGAGUGUUAGUUAUCAAAAGAUGCCCCGUCAUACAUUGCAUGCCGCGUUGACUAAGUAUCUUUGUUCAGUCGCACGCAACACGCAUAGAAUGUGGAUUUAUCACGUAGAAACGUAUUGUUGAACCUCAGAGUAUUUAUUUCAGAAUGGUCAAAAAUAUCAAAUCAACAAAUAAUUUCAUGGGCUUUAUGAUCAACAAGAAUAAUUAUCGUUUCAAAUGAAGAGUUGAAAAAGCACUCAAAAAUUGGAUUGAUCAAAGGACUUCAUGCUUUCAUAGUUUUUCGUUUUUUGUUGUUCCUGUUGAUUUUGCUUGUUUUUGUCGACGGCAAAUCAGUGAGCGAAGUUGUUGUAUAAAAGAGUCUGUAGUGAAUUCCAGCUUGUUGUAAAAGGAAAACCCUUGCUCUUAGGGAAGGUUUUGUGGAAAUAUGAACUGUGAUUUCUAUAUCAUCAAACUCGACUGUUGUACAAGAGUUCGUAAUAGUCGUUUUGCUUUAUUUAACCGUAAAGUUGUAACAGUAAAUGAACUAGUCUUUGCCGUUUGUUAUUCAAUUGACGUGAUCACAAAUGUUUAAAGCGUGAUUGUAUCCCAAAAUUUUUGCCGCUUAACUGCACAGCAACCCGUUCAAUUAUCGGAUUAAAUCAGUUUCAUCCCAGCAUGAUGCAGCUAAAUUCCCAUGAAGGGGUAUUGGUUUUGCAGUGCGCGAUUUUACCACAAUAAUCCAAAUUAUCGAGAUAGACACGUGCCAAAAAUAUAUAUCUGCUGCAUCACCUUGAAACACCGAAGAUAGUGAAAGAAAAUUUGUAUGCAGAUUAACAUGUAGAACACAACACCCAAAACUAACAUAUUAGUUACCAAUUAUUAAAUUAACACGCAAUUGUUUUAGACAAUAACGAUAAUAGAAUGCAAGAAAAGCAAACAAACCUAUUCAAAGACUAAAAGUAACUGAACACAUGAUUAAUAAGUGGUCUUCUGUAGAGUGCUUUUGAUACGCAAAGACUGCACGUAAAAAGCCCUUAGCAUUGCUUGGUUUGUCAGUUAAUACCCUUUCGUGGACAACACCGUGAAGGAGUAUGCAGUUUACCCCUGAAGGAAUUUGCCUGCCACACUGAUGCUCUGUACUUACGGCUCAGCUUUCGUUCCCCUCUUUUGUCUUGAUACACAAUAAUUACAUAUACUUAGGCAAUUCUACGGGGUCGUGAUCUUCUGUUUUGUUACGCUUUGUCCACGUCACCUAAUGGAAGGAUUAACGUCAAAUCUGAGGGGUCAAAAUACGUAGGAGAUACCCUGACGGGUUAAAUGGAAAAUGAGCAUUGUAGAACGCACUCAGCACUCCUUAUUUUCCAUGGCAACCGUGUUUUGACUUCUCAGACGCCAACACGUAACAAAUUAUAGAAUUAGACGACCCCUUAGCUAAUAACACGUUCUUUAGGGAAUGUAAAAUACAUUUCUCUUGAUACACUAGGUUCACUGAUAGGGCUUUACACAUUAUGUUCAGAUUUUUCACUAUUAUGCUAAUGCUCGAUGCUCAAAAAGUCCCACUAUCAUGCUCAAGAGGAGUCACUUUUAUGCUCCACUAUGCAAACAUCAAAAAGAUAAUAUCUUCACUUAAAUUAUUGAGGCGUGAGCGCUUCAGUGUAAUUCUCCAUUGCUCUGGCUUGACUAUUACGAAAUGAGUUUUCUAGUAAUGAGAAUAACUUGCUCUGGUGCAGCAGAAGAGGGUUGAAUUAGCAAAAUGUUCUUGCUUGCUGAAGCCCAAUUUGGAAGCUAUCUUUCAUGUUGAGACCACCAAGUAGUAACAGAUUACUCUCAGCUUGCCGAAGACCCAGAUCAUCAGCCUCCUUAGUCUUGUCACUAUUAUUCCGACAUAAUUCUCAAUUCUUUUACCUCACUUUUAUGCUCAAAAUAAUGCCGGCGUUAUAUGCAAAAUCCUAAAUGUAUUUUCCUGCAAUUAGGUUAUUUCGAGCCGGUGUACUCUUUCCAAUUAUUGGUGUCUAAUUAUGUCCUUUUUGUAGCUAAAAUGUUUUCAGAAAUUCAAACGAACAUUCUUCUCUUUUGCUGCUUCGACUAAACGUUAUUCCAUAAUCAUCAUGUUUAGAACGAGAUGUAACCAGAUCGCGGCGCAUUGAAUCACUUUGGUGGAGUCUUGGUUUUGCACGGUAGUUUCAUUACGGAAAUAAAAACAAGAAAUUCACAACAUGGUGUAAUUUACGCCGAAUGGAUUAAAACAAUAUUCCAGCAAUGAAACGUAGAACACAAAACACAGCAAGGUUUCACAUAUAAUUGGACCAUUGUGAUAUUAACUCGCUGUUCCUUUGGUCAACAUCCGUGAAUUCGAUUGUAGCGUGAACUGACAGUUCUAGUAAGAAUGUCACAUGAUUAAUUAGAAUUUCCUGGUGAUUUGACAAUCGCAGACCUUAUGUUGAAAGGGCUGAAACAUCGCUUAGCCGGUUCAAACUUCCGACUUUAACACAAAUACUAAACUACAGUGCCUAACAUCAUUAAUCCUCUCUUAUUUCUGCAUUUUUUUUGUCUCAGUUAUAAGAAUCUUAUUGUAAGAUUCUUAUACAUUUGUAAAAAUAUGAAAAUAUCGAGGAUGAAAUAGUAAGUGACACUUAUAUAUGAAUUGUAUACCCAAGGCAGAGAUUUUGUUAAGAAUUUGUUUGCGCAUUGAUGAACAAAUAGAACACAAUUAAGUCACAUAACGUUUUUAAAUAAACUUUAUUUUACCCUUGCAAAAGAGCUAACGCAACAGUACAAACGUAAGCACGUUUAAGUUGAAUCGAUAAAGCAAGGGCACAAUAGAUAAAUAACAUCAAAGAGUUCUAUUUGACAAGUCAAUCAUAUUCCUGCUACGUUUUACCUAACUUGAAUAAACGUACAAUCGGCUCCGCAGUCUACGAAUGUACACAGAAUAUUUUGAGCUGUAGGUCGAAAGUAAUAUAAGACUAUUCAGCCUGGGCAUGUUAAGAAAAUAUCAUUCUUUUAUAAACAAGUGAACAAGGCGCUAUUGAGUUUGCUCGAAGAAAACGAAAACGAUACGUCUAAUUGUUUAAGGGAGAAGUAUAUAAGAAACUGCGAUCCAAAAACCUACGUUUUAUAUAUUUCAAGCCAAAAAUCAAGUGUUAUUCAAGUUUACCCAAUCAUGGGCAAGCACGAGCUAUGAAUAGAAUAGACAAUAAUGAGACAACUUCCUGUUGCCGGGAUGUUUUGCAUUUCUCACGUCAGAUUAUUAUGCUAGCGUGCAAGUAUUUCUGGUGUUUGGCGGGUUUAGUUCGCAAGGUCAAAAGUAAAAUGUCAAGAGUUUUAAAGUAAACAAAAGAGCGCUGUGCGAGUAACAGCGUAUAUCCGACUUUCUUUAACUUUUUUUCGAGCAACUCCUCUUUCUACAAAUUUAUAAGGUCAAAGUCAACUUUGUUUUGCUCAAAAAAGGUUACCUGAUUCAAAACGUGACAGUUGCCACGCGAUUCGCGUUAUAAUUACAGUCUAGUAAUAUCGAUUUCAAGGUCAAUCGAUAAAUCAUCAUAUAUAAAAAGUUUGCUGUUCGGUUUAUCAUAUUUCCAACAGUAUUUUCAUCUGUGACCUGAAAGGUGAUUAAGCGUAACGUCUGAAAAUUACGCUCGUUUUUAAACGAUUAUUCGAACUUUAUGGCGCCCUCGAUUCCAACUCAGAUGGGCGUCUUUGUAUUUGAAGACUCUUACAUUCUCGCUAAAGCCAGAAAAAGAGUUGACCAAUGGCCAACCUGUUGUUCGCUUUUUACUCUCCAGCAACAAGUGCUAUGACAGGAGCUGACCUAAACUGCAGCACAAUAUUCCUUUGACAGUCCCAAACGCCAAAACUGUCAGUCAGUGCAAAGUCGUCCAUCCAUCAAAUAUGGGAGAACUGUGCUUUUCUGUACCGCUCAUGUGCCUAUGAAGCUGCAGAAAUGGCAAUGCUGCCAAAUGAAGCAAGGUAUCACGUGACAUACCACAUGACUUUUAGCAGAAAGCAACAUUUCAUGGACUGCUGGCGAUUUUUCAGUAGAAUCAUCAAACAUCUGCUUAAACAUAAUUUUGCUCUAGAGAAUUCCUGACCCUGGCCUUUAAGAGCGCUCGAGGGCUUGAGUGAUGUUUGUAGACUGUUCAGUCCGCAGUGUCACAUUGAGAGUUUGGCUGAGAUCCCAGCAUGGCAUAAAAUGACGAUUCGCCGCAACGUCUGACUGUGUUUGCGUUAGUUUCAGUAGUACAGUUCUUCUGUGUAUUUUGUUUUGUUUUUUUUUUCUUUUGUCUUAAUCACAACUCCCUCGCACCCUCCCUCUCUCCACAGUACAUAUCCUGGGUCGUAAUCUUAAUCAGCAGAGACAUGGAGGUCGGUUUAGUUACCUUGAUUUGCUUUCUUUUUCAUUCCGGUAAUUGUUUAUAAGCUUUUCGGUUCUAACCAAAUUAAACAAGCUCUGUUUUUCUUGUAAUCAAUUUAAGAGAACAUCAUGUCCCUCGUACCCCGCCAUAUUCGCUUUUGGUCUUUCCUUUUAGUUCAGAACUUAGCAAGGUAACCUUAUCAUGUUAUAUCUGAUUGAUCUGCUUUUGAAGUGACAAAUACGAAGAUAUGUUGAGGAUCUUUCGCAAGUCAAACGUUUUUUUGCUUCAAUUCAAGACGUUUUUGACUGCCGAUAGACAAAUCAAAGGAGCAUAUGAAUUAGGCACUGUAAAAUUCGACACGUCGAAUUGAAGCCUUCCGGGCUCACAUGACUGUGAACUGGUCGAUAGCCAGCUUUUGCGCAAGGAAUUCUUCGGGGAAUGCAGAUUAUUUACAUCGCGGCUUCAUUACGGACAGAAAGAUAACAAAACCUUACUGUAUCGCUGCACUCAUUGUUUCUACAAUCUCCUGCAUGUGAACAACGAUGCCGGGGAUCUAUCGUCCCCGGCAAAGCCUUCGUCACACCUCCGGAAAUAAGGGCGCCACAUUACAACAACUUACUCCGAGACAGAAUGAAUUCGAACCGCGGGAACACUUUGUUUUGACGAAAAGGAUAAAAUUGCUAGGAAAUUAUUCAUUAAUUUUGAAACAGAAAAAGUCUCAGCUUUUGAAAAGCUACUAUGUGUUACCAGUUUAACUAUAGACGCAAGAAUCUUAAAACCCCUCACCUGUUCGAGAAAUUUCCUUGUUCCGAAAGCUCGUGUAAAUGGAGCCGCGGCAGUCGAUAUGCUUUCUAUCAACAAAUGUUUUUCUUUACCAAAACCCACAAAUGAUCAGAAGCGCAACACUUGUUACCAGAUCCUUUUUGAAGCGUCAAGAAGCUCCCAGCGUACCAGUUUAUUUCUUAUAGCGACAAUUGCCAAAAUGAUCGUGAUCAAAAUUAGAGAGCGUGUUGUUGCUGUUGCGUGCUGAUGUCGUCUUGGUGGGAGUUGUUGGGGGUUGGGACAUAUCGCAUUUCCCUUGCACUUUCAAGAUAAACCUGUUAAACAGCAUUGUAAAGGAAAAUAAACAACCUUUGCAGCGAUUGGACGGAUCAGUUUACACGGCGGUUUAAGUUACGCAACUCAUACCCUUAUGUGCUAAAAUUUCCUUGUGUAUUUUCCAUUCUUUAGAGGCAAUCAAGCGUGGCAAUGUUUUGGAAGCCUCGUGUCUGUCCAAUCGAAAUUCUGCCGACUAUUUUUAUUAAAACUCAGCAACCUAGGUAAGCUCGUCAAAAUAUACCAAGUUUGUCAAUGGCCUCAGCCAAAUAAACAACAAAUUACGACAUAAAAUGGAACCCCUUCCUGCUAGACUCAAACGCUUUCAGAUUUCUCAUUUUUGUGACGGUGUUAUUCGCAUUCCUGACGUUUCAAAUUUGCCGAACAACUCCCAGCCAUCCCGAUAUAGGCCUACUAUUCUAUAACAGAAAUUCUUUAAGUGUAGAGCUAACUGCAUGAGUUAUCUUAUUUCUAUGAUUUUGAAACUCUCAAUAUUGUACCAUCCGCAUAUCCCUGAUCAUGGAUAAAGGUAAAUUAUAUUGACCUCCAUUGCCAAACGUUCGAUUUAUUGUAUAUUGGUCAGAGCAGCUUUUUUGGAUGGGGGGUGGAAUUGCCAAAAAUCAAUGCAUCUAUCCCGACGAACAUUUUGCCCUAGGCAGCACUGAAACAAACUGUCCCAAACAAGUAUCGAAGCCACUAGAUGCAGUGAAAUACUACAGCAAAAACGGAAAUGACCAAGCGAAAUUCUUGGACACGUAAACUUGUCGGGCAUUAUCUGCAAGGGAAGUUCAGCAGGUUGUCAUGGCAAUUACUUUUCAAAGAGUUAAUUAACCAAACACAGGCGUUUCUUGAGAGAGCGGGGUAAAGAAUGUCUACGUUAGAGAAGUCUUUCUCAGGUGACUGCUAAUAAAGCUACUCCUGCGCGAUGUCCCGUAUUUAACUAAACAAUUUGAUUGGUUUUCUAAAAAAAAAUUCAGCCACUUGAUGCAAUGAAAGACUAAAUAAAAAGCGGAAAUGAUAAAACAAAAUGUCGUGUUAUCGGGAGCCCUGAUGUUAUCUUAGUGAAAGCUUCUUUACUUAUUCGGUGGAUUUUCAGAUUUAUAAGUUAAGCAUUUCCUCCUUUCCAGUUUUGUAACCAUGUCAGUCAGAGCUUGAUAUCGUCUCUGCCAAUAUAGAGAUGACGUUAACUUUUGUUUACUGUCCAACUAUUUGCUUGUUUUUCGCACAGUUCCGGGCAUGACAGGUUUUGCCCGGUUAUCCCACGCUAAUACAGUACUUAUUUAUUCCCCUGGGUGGGCAAAUGGCCGGAUGAGUGCCCUGUCCCAGAAUGCACCACGAGGAAAAUGAUGCAGGCUUCGAUCACGCAACUUCUUAAACAUUAAUUGCCGGUUGAUGCAGUGAGCCAAAGAUUUGACAGUUGUUGGCAAGGAAAGAUAUUUAAUUAAUUACGGAGUAUUCCACUCCGCUCGGAGUUUUUUCAUUCAACUCGGCAGCUUGUCCAUAAACCACGUCUUCUCUUUUAAUCCAAUUGUUCUUUCCCAGUUGUACAUGUAAAUUGACUAAUGCGCUUAUUCGCCCGACCAAAUACUGCAACUUGUUGCCCUGAUUAAACGACAAAACCACUGAUUAGUCUGGCGAGUUAUUUUAACCUCAUGAAGUGUUAUUUUCUUUUGACUCUGGGCCAUUAGGGAUUUCGUCUCGUUGUUCCGUCUCCUUGUUGCGUGUAUUUGUUUACGCAUCGUUUGCCGAGUGUGGUUAACCUAGGUAUUCCGUGUUCUUAAGCUCUGGAUGGGAGUCUAUCAAAAGGUCAAAUAACCAAGUAGGGGACGAGGAAGUGCAGCCUUAAUUUAUUAUUAUUAUGGUGAAAUUGUUUAAGUAAGUACUAUAUCGUGUAGUCAAGGAAUUAACAAAUGUCUGAUUGAUUAAAUUAUAUUCGUCGCUGUUUUGAACCCUUUAAACUCUGCCAAUGAGAUUGCAGCGUAAUAUUUAGGAACGGUAGAGCAUUACGAAAAUGCCGCAAGUCUUGUUAUGAACAUAGGGAGCUGGGAUGCUAUCGGUUUUAUUUUUAUUUCAGGUUAUGACGAAAAAGCUUUUCCGGAUUAGAGAGCUUAUGGAUUAUGGUUCUCAAAAAUUGGAGAUCCGGUCAAAUACCGGCAAAUAUUUCAUUAACAUUAGUAAAUAAAUGCAGUAUUCUUGCUAGCAAGGGAAGCCUUCACUUCUAGGCGCAAAAAUAUACAUUUUCGCAGUCGAUAAAUAUAUAGCAAGCUACAGUCCAAUUUCUUAUUAAUGGUCUAAAAGGUGCAAUUUAAAAAACAAAUCAAAUGAAAAAAAAAAAAGGUUUUGUUUUUUUCAACAAGAUUAGUGAUUUUUUUUUCCCUGUACACUGUACACCUAUAAACCUGUGCACCUUCUACUAAAUAAAUCGAAGCCAAAACAAAAUUGCUGAAUUCAGUAACUCUUUUCGCUUUCCUCGUCCUCCCCUCCCCUCCCCCUCAACUUUCCCACGCCCUUUUUCGUCUGAAACGCUAGCAUAAAUUCCUGUGUCUGAUAUCCUAUCCACCGAGGUUCUGCGCAUGCUCGGUCAACGGGUAAAGGUUAACAUAAGCAAGCAUGAGAACGGUUUGCUCGAUUUGUGAAUCAAAUUUUAAGUUUCAAAAUAUAUCAAUUAUCCUCGAUGACACCUUAACUACUGACCUACAGCGGCAUGAAGACGUCAAAAAAUUUUGAGAAUCCCCCACACCCCCCUGACCGACGCAUUGUUCCUGUGAGGUAAGACUGUCCCAACUUCAAGAGAUCUGCUAUGGCUAAUUAUCAGAGUCUAUCAUAAUAUUUGUUUCUAGCCGGGAAGGGGGUGGAAUAUAUUUCUGUUCGUUAGAAAAUCUCUCGAAUCGAAGAAAUUUAGCGUCUAGUACUUUUUGAUCGAUGCAUGCGCCUCAAAGUGACAUUCUUUAUUCCUUCUUCCCCUGCAGUUGAUUUUCCCGAAACUGUAGAGUCAGGCAGUGUGCACGACAGAUGCUGCUGUUACGUUUAUAUAACGUGGAAUUUUUUUUAACUUCAAAAAAAAAAAAAAAUGCCCAUUGACCAAAAAACCGCAGAAAUUCCGACACCGGAAAUUGAAAAGAAAAUAACUGUAUUUUGACUGCCUCUCGACAAUGCUUAUCAGUCUCAGGCUAAUUUCGGAUUAAUCAGGGAAUCUUUAAAAAGCAACGCGACAACAUUAAAAUUGGGUGUGUUGCAAAUUAGCCUUCAGUUUCGGCCGGUCUUGUCACAAAAUCCGCCAUAUAAUACAUAGCGGCAGUUUUUAGUCUGUGUGAGAUGCAUCGGUGUAUUCUGAGCAAGCGCCUGAAAGUGACAUUCUUCAUUCCUUCUUACUCUACUGCUGAUUUUCUCAAAACUGUAGUGUCAGGGAGUGCGCAUGGCAGAUUUCGCUCUUAAGCCAAUUUAGAUAAGGUGGAAUUUUUUUGAACUUAAACAAAUGCCCAUUUAGCAAAAAACCACAGAAAUUCCGGCACAGGAAAUCGAGAAGAAAAUAACUGUAUUUUGACUGCCUUUCGACAAUGCUUAUCAAUGCUUAUCAGUCUCAGGCUAAAGCAACGGCGACAACAUUAAAAUUGGGCGCGUUGCAAAUUAGCCUUCAGUUCAGCCGGUCUUGUCACAAAAUCCUCGAUAUAGUGCAUACCGGCAGUGUAAGCUGUCUGAGAUCCAAGUUAUUGUAAAUCAGAUUUCGGUUAAGUCCGAAAAUUGAACAAACUUUUGUUUUUCCGAAAUUGUGAAUUGUAAAUUUUUUGCUAUUUCCCUAGUUCGGGGCCACCUUGGAAGUUUCAUAUAUAAUUCCGCCCUCUCUUCUCUCGUCUCCCGCAAAGUUCCCAGACGGUAGCUUAGAAUUGGUCCAAAUUUGAACUGUCAGCUGAGAAAUGACCCGGGCUUUUUUAUGACGGUAGCUAAGAGCUACAAAGUUUCCUAAUAACCGAGACUGAAACAGGCUGAAAUUUGAAUUGAUAGACGAGACAUCGCCGAACAUAUUUCACUGAUAACAGAGAUGCCCACCCCAGUCACACCCAAUGCAAGCCCCCCCAAUUUAUCACCUCUGCCCUCGCUAUAACCAUAUUAAGGAUCGAAAUACAAAACAACAACCCGUUAGAAUAAUCUCAGCGCCAAAACAAAAAAAGAAAAAGAAAAAAAUGCAGAAAAAAAAAAGAUUGAAAACAAACAGAACCGUGUGGCUUCUGUACCAUGGAAAGCUGUUCAUUAGAUGGACAUUUUACUUGUAGAAAGUGUCCGUGAAUUUGUCGCGAAACGUAACAGACCUCCUACACAGUCUUGGUUUUACUAUUUGCAAAACUAAUUGUGUAAUAAUCAGGCAUAAUCAUUAAUUAUAGAAUAAUGGGAUUAUAAGAUUAGGCGAAUUUCUGACCGAAUACCUUCAUAAAGUACUAUUUCAUUCAGAAAGUGAGAAGGGAUUUUCGACACAUGAUUUGAAAUUAGCUGGGAAUUCAAUAAAGUUUGUUAUCUUACAUUUGAUCUCGCGCUUAACUUCAUUGAACUUGAUCGCUUCUGGUCACAGUUUCGCUUCGAAACAUUCAGUCGCCCUGGUAUACAGACCUAUAAGCCUGUAAACCUGAGCUUAUUUGACUUGCACUGGAAACAAAAUUAAUUUUUACUAAGCAGUUAUUUCGGAUCUUCACGCGAACCAGUAUCGUUUACGGAAAGAGACGUUUUUAGUCGACCUGCGCGAGGUUAAAAAAAAAAAAAAAAAAAAAAAAAAA